CUUGACAAACCAUAAGAGGUCCAGCCUGCCCAGUGACUCUGUUCAACGGCCGCGGUAUCCUAACCGUGCGAAGGUAGCGUAAUCACUUGUUCUUUAAAUGAGGACUAGUAUGAAUGGCACCACGAGGGUUAUACUGUCUCCUUCCUCUAAUCAGUGAAACUAAUCUCCCCGUGAAGAAGCGGGGAUAAAACUAUAAGACGAGAAGACCCUAUGGAGCUUUAAACACAGUAACAAUUGCCCUGACCCUAUCUCCAGCCCCCGGGCACAAUCAUUUACUCAGGCACCUUGAUUACAAGUUUUAGGUUGGGGUGACCGCGGAGCAAAAAAUAACCUCCACAGUGAAAAAGGACUUUCCCCUAAACCCAGGGCCACAACCCCAAGAAUCAAAAAAUUGACACCCGUUGACCCAUUUUUAUGACCAACGAAC
rnacentral:rRNA from 1 species